rnacentral:rRNA from 1 species
AAAUGACAAAAUUUGACCUUGACACUUCAAAAUCACUAUGUAAGAGCACAUUUGAUCACUGGAGGAAGGCUGUAAAGACUGACACUAACAGGCUCAUUAAAUCAGUUAUAGUUUUUUUGAUGGUACCAUACUACUCGGAUAACCGUAGUAAUUCUAGAGAUAAUACGUGCACCAAGUCCCGACUCUUUGGAAGGGAUGAAUUUUUUAGAUAAAAGGCCGGCGCGGGCUUGCCCGCUUCUCUGGUGAAUCAUGAUAACUCGACGGAUCGCACAGCCCUUGUGCUGGCAAUGCUUCAUUCAAAUUUCUGCCCUAUCAACUUUCGAUUUUAGGAUAGAGGCCUACCAUGGUGGUGACGGGUGACGGAGAAUUAGGGUUCGAUUCCGGAGAGGGAGCCUGAGAAACGGCUACCACAUCCAAGGAAGGAAACAGGCAUGCAAAUUACCCAAUCCUGACAUGGGGAGGUAGUGACAAUAAAUAACAAUACUGGGCUCAUCGAGUCUGGUAAUUGGAAUGAGUACAAUCUAAAUCCCUUAACGAGAAUCCAUUGGAGGGCAAGUCUGGUGCCAGAAGCCGCGGUAAUUCCAGCUCCAAUAGCGUAUAUUUAAGUUGUUGCAGUUAAAAAGCUCGUAGUUGGAUCUUGGGUCGUAAAGGUCGGUCCACCUACUCGGUGUGCACCUGCCCUCCCGUCCCUUUUGUCGGCGGCGUGCUCCUGGCCUUAAUUGGCUGGGUCGCGGCUCCGGCGCUGUUACUUUGAAAAAAUUAGAGUGCUCAAAGCAAGCUUAUGCUCUGAAUACAUUAGCAUGGAAUAACGUGAUAGGAGUCUGGUCCUAUUGUGUUGGCCUUCGGAACCGGAGUAAUGAUUAAUAGGGACUGUCGGGGGCAUUCAUAUUUCAUUGUCAGAGGUGAAAUUCUUGGAUUUAUGAAAGACGGACCACUGCGAAAGCAUUUGCCAAGGAUGUUUUCAUUAAUCAAGAACGAAAGUUGGGGGCUCGAAGACGAUCAGAUACCGUCCUAGUCUCAACCAUAAACGAUGUCGACCAGGGAUUGGCGGAUGUUGCUCUAAGGACUCCACCAGCACCUUUUGAGAAAUCAGAGUGUUUGGGUUCCAGGGGGAGUGUGGUUGCAAGGCUGAAACUUAAAGGAAUUGACGGAAGGGCACCACCAGGAGUGGAGCCUGCGGCUUAAUUUGACUCAACACGGGGAAACUUACCAGGUCCAAACAUAGUAAGUAUUGACAUAUUGAGAGCUCUUUCUUGAUUCUAUGGGUGGUGGUGCAUGGCCGUUCUUAGUUGGUGGAGCGAUUUGUCUGGUUAAUUCCGAUAACGAACGAGACCUCAGCCUGCUAACUAGCUACGAGAAGGUUCCCCUUCGCGGCCAGCUUCUUAGAGGGACUAUGGCCAUUUAGGCCAGGGAAGUUUGAGGCAAUAACAGGUCUGUGAUGCCCUUAGAUGUUCUGGGCCGCACACGCGCUACACCGAUGCAGCCAACGAGCUUUUCUUCCUGGUUCGAGAGGAUCGG